CCUACGGGAGGCAGCAGUGGGGAGUAUUGGACAAUGGGGGCAACCCUGAUCCAGCAAUGCCGCGUGAGUGAUGAAGGCCUUAGGGUUGUAAAGCUCUUUCGACGGGGAUGCGGUACCCGUAGAAGAAGCCCCGGCUAACUUCGUGCCAGCAGCCGCGGUAAUACGAAGGGGGCUAGCGUUGUUCGGAUUUACUGGGCGUAAAGGGCGCGUAGGCGGUGCAAUAAGUCAGGCGUGAAAGCCCCGGGCUCAACCCGGGAAUUGCGCUUGAUACUGUUGCGCUUGAAUCCAGGAGAGGAUGGCGGAAUUCCCAGUGUAGAGGUGAAAUUCGUAGAUAUUGGGAAGAACACCAGUGGCGAAGGCGGCCAUCUGGCCUGGAUUGACGCUGAGGCGCGAAAGCGUGGGGAGCAAACAGGAUUAGAUACCCUUGUAGUC
rnacentral:rRNA from 1 species